rnacentral:SRP_RNA from 1 species
GCUGGGUGUGGUGACUCACGCCUGUAAUCCCAGCAUUUUGGGAGGCUGAGGCGGGUGGAUCACUUGAGGCCAGGAGUUCAAGACCAGCCUGGCCAACAUGGUGAAACCCUGUCUCUA